AAGUCGUAACAAGGUUUCCGUAGGUGAACCUGCGGAAGGAUCAUUGUCGAAUUCGAAGGGGAGAACGACCCGCGUACCGUCUUUGCGUAGCGAACCAAGCUAGCGUGCACAAAAGGUGGCGUGUCUAGCGAUGCGUCGGUGCGGGCCUUCUGGAAAGGGCCGCGCCGCGCCGUAAUCUAUCAAUGUCAGCACGGAUCGUGCCAAGUACUGCAUUGGCGAGAGCCGUCGUCCUCCCCCUCUUUUGGGGGGGGGGGACAUGUGCGAUCUCUGCUCUUUGUCUUAAUGACUCUCGGCAACGGAUAUCUCGGCUCUUGCAUCGAUGAAGAACGCAGCGAAAUGCGGUACUUGGUGUGAAUUGCAGAAUCCCGCGAACCAUCAACUCUUUGAACGAGAUCCCGCGACCAUCAACUCUUUGAACGCAAGUUGCGCCCGAAGCCAUACGGCCGAGGGCACGCCUGCCUGGGUGUCGUGAAUCCCCUUGCCGCCGGCGCCCGCGCGAGCAUCGUCGCGGAUAUUUCCGGGCGCAGAAUAUGGUCUCCCGCCGGGUCGGCAUGCGCGGCACGUCGUCGGGCGGUUGGCCGAAAAUCGAGCAUUGCGACGUCCCGUUCCACGGCGUUCGGUGGAUCGAACGCGAUUGGCAGCGCCGUGGUCCCGUCUUGCCACGGGCUCUGGACUUKGAAGAUUUCUGAAUGCGAUCCCAGGUCAGGUGGGGCUACCCGCUGAGUUUAAGCAUAUCAAUAAGCGGAGGAAAAGAAACUAACGAGGAUACCCUUAGUAGCGGCGAGCAAACCGGGACGAGCCCAGCRUGAGAAUCGUCCCCCUUCGGCGGCCGAAUUGUAGUCUGGAGAAGCGUCCUCAGUGACGGACCGGGCCCAAGUUCACUGGAAGGUGGUGCCGG
rnacentral:rRNA from 1 species